AAAGAUAGAAAGAAAGAUAGAUGGGUAAGUAGAUAGAAAAAUAGAUAGAGAGAUAGAAAGAAAGAAAAAUAGAUGGGUAGGUAGAUAGAAAGAAAGAAAGAUAGAUGGGUAGGUAGAAAGAUAGAUAGAUGGGUAGGUAGAUAGAAAGAUAGAAAGAAAGAUAAAUGGGUAGGUAGAUAGAAAGAUAAGUGGGUAGGUAGAUAGAAAAAUAGAAAGAUAGGUGGGUAGGAAGAUAGAAAGAUAGAAAGAAAGAAAGAUAGAUGGGUAGGUAGAUAGAAAGAAAGAAAGAUAGAUGGGCAGAUAGAAAGAUAGAUAGGUGGGUAGGUAGAGAGAAAAAUAGAAAGAAAGAUAGAUGGGUAGGUAGAUAGAAAGACAGAUAGGUGGGUAGGUAGAUAGAAAGAUAGAAAGAAAGAAAGAUAGAUGGGUAGGUAGAUAGAAAGACAGAUAGGUGGGUAGGUAGAUAGAAAGAUAGAUAGAAAAAUAGAAAGAAAAAUAGAAAGAUAGAUGGGUAGAUAGAUAGAAAAAUAGAAAGAUAGAUAGAAAGAUAAAUGGGUAGGUAGACAGAUGGAUGGGUGGGUAGAUAGAUGGGUAGAUAGGUACUUAGAUAAGAUGGAAUUACUUAGAUGGACUACAUAUAUGUGGAGAUAUAGAUAUGUAUUCUGCAUGUACAUAUAAGAGAUAUAUCUUCCCCUUUAGAUGAGAAAUACAAGGGCUCACACAUAUCAACACAUGCAUAUGUAUAAUACACAUAUAACAUCUCUCCCUUAGACUGUAAACUCCUUGCGAGUAAUCCACAUGUAACCACACAAGCUCAGUACGCGUAUGAAUAAUGUCAUCUCCCCAUUAGAUCAAAAUUCCUUGAGGACACAUACAUUUAUAUCUUCUCCAAAGAGGGGAAACUCCCUGAGGGCACAAUACAUGCACAGCACAUGUGUACCUGUGUACCUGCACCACUUACAGAUCCUUUCCAAAGGAUGCAGCCUGUUCUCUCGCCAUCCUCCUUGAGCUCCUGUGGGAACACAGACCCUCCCCCUGGGACCUCGGGCUAGAGAGGUGAGCUUUUUCACUUACCUUGUAAAGACCUAGGCCACCAACCCUUCCAGUCCACUUCUAAGUCUUCUGGGUGUGUUUUAAUCCCUCAUUAGCAUAUUCUCCUCCUUGUGGAUAGGAUUAUUUUACUGGCUUGUAUUUGAUUCCACUGUCCUUUGCUGGUUGCCUGAUACAUAGUAAGGGCUUAAUAAAUGCUUUUUCAUUCAUUCAUUUAUUCAUUCAUGAAAAGUAGAAUACAAUGAGGACAAAGGAAGAGAUCCAGAGAAAGUGCUCUAAGAAAACAGGAGGAGCCAGAGAUCACUUUCAGCUGAGAAAGUCUGGGAAUAUUUCCUGGAAAAGGUGGCCCCCAGCGAGCUCAACCUUUCAGGGAAAAAACAGGCUUUUGAACAGCCUAAGAUGGGGAGGAAGGGCAUUCUAAGCACAGUGGAAGGCUGCAGCUCUAGGAAUUGUCUAAUUUAGCAGGAAUAUAAAGUACAUGAAGAGAAAUAAUGUAAAAUAAACCUGGAAAGGAGCCAGAGUAUGGGAGUCCUUAAAUGACAAACUAAUAAUGUCAGUAUUUUAUUCCACAGGUGUUCUAUAUUUGUUCCAUAGAUGUUCUAUAUGUAUUUGUGUGUAUUACAUGUAUGCACGUACACACAUAUUAUGCAUAUAGUGUGUCAUCCAGGAGUUUCCAUCUUGAGGGAGAGGAUACAUAUGUAUGUGGAUACAUGUUUGUGUCCUCAGGGAAUUUUGGUCUCAUGGGGAAGCAGAAGGAGAGGGAGUGUGGCAGACAUAGACAGAACCCCUCUGGGGUGCUGGGGAUGAAAGCUGGAGCUUCCCCUGGGAUCUGUCCCAGGGGACAAAUUGCUGCCUCAGAAUGCUCUGCUUGGCCCCACGGAGUCAGCGGGCAGAGAGAUUCUGGCUUGUUCUGACUCCUACGUGCUGCGGCCCCUGGUUUCCUUUCUUUGAACAUUAAAUGAGCCGAGAGGGACCUUCUUUAGAACUCCGGUGAUCAUCUUUAGUCAUUGAGUGCUACCCUUCGCCCCAUUGUCCCAUAGGAGCCAGGAAAUGUGACAGAAGGCAAAAAGAAAGUUUUGGAGCAGGAGCCACUUACGCCCAAGGCUACUUAUGCCUAAGUACCAUGCAGUGCAGUAAUAAUUAUGCUUUAUCACUAAAUAUGUUCAUAGUUCAUAGAAUUGGGAGUUGGAAGAAUCCAGGCAGAUUAACUUUGUAAUUAGAUUUGUUUGAUGAUAACUGCCACUUUAUGCAAGUUUUCUCAGUCGUUAAACCUGGAUCAUCCACUCAACUCAAUGCAGAGAGAAAACCUGACUUCUCUUCAUUCUCCCUUCCAGUCUUUCCUUAUGUCCUAAAAUCCUUUUCCUGACUGUGCUCUCCCAAUGUUAUUUCCUAUUUACCACUCCUGAUGUCUAUCAUCUCUCAGCAUUUUUUCUGUAAUCUCUUCUCCUAAAUAAACUUAUCUUUUGCCGA